UACAGAGGUUGCAAGCGUUGUUCGGAUUCAUUGGGCGUAAAGGGUGCGUAGGUGGCUUCGUAAGUCGGGUGUGAAAUUUCGGAGCUUAACUCCGAAACUGCAUUCGAUACUGCGGUGCUUGAGGACUGGAGAGGAGACUGGAAUUUACGGUGUAGCAGUGAAAUGCGUAGAGAUCGUAAGGAAGACCAGUGGCGAAGGCGGCAUCCUGGACCAACACUGACACUGAGGAACGAAAGCCAGGGGAGCAAACGGG
rnacentral:rRNA from 1 species